CAAGAAAAACUUCAAUUUAUUUUUUCCCAUCAUUCCGUUUUGCAGAACAAAAGAAACAAACGGAAGAGAGCGCUUAAUUAAACAAAAAAGAGAGAGUGUGAAAAAUAGAAAUAAAAACCAAAGAGAAAUCAGCUCUUUUUGUGCUCAAAAUUGUUGUAAAGAAGAGAGAGACAAACAAAUGAAUAAUAAUUACACAAAAACAAAAAAACAACAAGAAUUUAUGAAAAUACGUCCAAAAAAGCAAAAAUAUUUAUCAAAAAAAAAAAUAUAAUUAAAAAGUGAAAUUUUAACAAACUUGUUUAUAAAAAACCCUCCAAUUAUAACAACGAGUAAAAAAAUUAAAAGCCAAAUUAUAAAAGAAACAUCACUAUUCCGCCCACAAUACAGAAAAAAGUUAAAACAAAAAUUUGCCACCACUACUAAAGAGUUUUAACUAAAAUUUCAAUUUUAUUAAAAACAAAUCUCAGUACAUCCUUCCCUUUGAUUUCUAAACCCGUCCAUCAACAAACACAACAAAAAUUUCUGAACCAAAAAAGUGGAUACGAAAUAAAUUCCGAUAAUAAGCAAACAACCACCCUCUCAGCAUUUUGUAUUAUUUAUUUUUGUCUUCUUGUCCAUCCGCAACUACGCCAAAACAAACACGAGAAAACAAACUCCAGAACUGAGUAUCAGGUCCUGUAAACACCAAAGCAAAAACAACAAACCGUAGCCGUAACGAGCAGCAGUCUUUGCCAACAUGUCUUUGGAAUCAGGUGCUGGUGGUGGCGUCAGCGGUUCAGCCGCUACACCAAAAACCGUUGAGGAACUAAAUAUGGAAGUUGAACGUUUGACACGUGAACUCGAUCAAGCCACCAGUGAACGUGCUCAAUCCGCCCAAUACGGUCUUUCAUUGUUGGAGGAAAAGUCCAGUCUCGAACAGAGACUCGAAGAAUUGGAAACAUUGUAUGACAAUGCAAAACAUGAAUUGGAUAUAACACAUGAAGCUCUUACCAAAUAUCAAACCUCACAAAAAGUUACAACAAAAACUGGCAUUGAGCAGGAGGAGACUCUGCUGAAUGAAUCGGCAGCUAGAGAAACGUCGCUUAAUUUACAAAUACUCGAUUUGGAGAAUGAAGUUAAGCAGUUGCGUCAUGAAUUGGAACGUGUGCGCAAUGAACGCGAUCGUAUGUUGCAGGAAAACUCCGAUAUCGGUCGUGAUAAAUCCGAUAAUGAGGCUGAGAAACUGCGUCUUAAAGCUGAGCUUAAAGAACUUAAGUUUCGUGAAACUCGUAUGCUUACGGAAUACUCAGAGUUGGAAGAAGAAAACAUAUCGUUACAAAAACAAGUCUCAAGUUUAAGAAGUUCGCAGGUUGAGUUUGAAGGUGCCAAACAUGAGAUAAGACGUCUAACCGAAGAAUUAGAAUUGUUAAAUCAACAAGUUGAUGAAUUAACAAAUCUAAAAAAGAUUGCUGAAAAGCAAAUGGAAGAAGCUCUGGAAGCUUUGCAGGGAGAACGCGAAACAAAAUAUGCUCUCAAGAAAGAACUUGAUAGUCAUUUGAAUCGUGAAUCUAUGUAUCACAUUACCAAUAUGGCCUACAACAUACGAGGAACAAUAUGUGAUGACAACACGAGUACCAACAGUGAUGGCGAAGAAGAUAAUUUGGCUUUGAAACGUUUCGAAGCCAAUUUGUCGACUGAACUCAAAUCUCCCGAUGGCACUAAGUGUGAUCUCUUCUCCGAAAUACAUUUGAACGAAUUGAAAAAGCUGGAAAAACAAUUGGAAUCUAUGGAAAAUGAAAAGACCCAUUUGACAUCCAAUUUGAGAGAAGCUCAAACGAAUUUGGAUAAAUCACAAAAUGAAUUACAAAACUUUAUGGCCCGCCUAGCAGUUUUAGCAGCCCAUGUGGAUGCUUUAAUGCAAUUGAAAAAACAAUACGAUCACAAAGAAUUAUCACAAGAGGCUAUUAAACAGCAACAGAAUGAGGAUAAUCUUAAGCAGCAGCUACGUGAUACACUCACACAAUAUGGCAAUUGGUUUACUUUGUCCUCCAAGGAAAUUGAUGGUCUCAAGACUGAUUUGAAUGAGUUGCAAAAGGGUUUGAACUAUACCGAUGCCAUGACUUCGUUGCGUAAUGAAAUCACCAGUUUGAAAAACAAACUUAUGAACACCGAACAGAAAUCUUUGGAUUUGCAAAGUGAUGUUCAAACUCUCACAAACAUUUCACAAAACGCUGGUCAAAGUUUAGGCUCGGCACGUUCCACAUUGGUGGCGCUCAGCGAUGAUUUGGCUCAACUGUAUCAUUUGGUGUGUACGGUUAAUGGUGAGAUGCCAACUAGAGUGUUGUUGGAUCAUAAGACCGAUGAUAUGAGCUUUGAAAAUGAUUCCCUCACUGCUAUACAAUCCCAAUUCAAAUCUGAUGUCUUUAUAUCUAAACCUCAAAUUAUCGAAGAUUUGCAAGGUCUUGCAGAUUCGGUGGAAAUUAAGAAAUACGUUGACACUGUUUCUGAUCAAAUUAAACACCUUAAAACUGCCGUUGAACAUACCAUUGAGCUUAACAAAAACAAAGUUCGUGGUGAUGUUACAGAAUCCGAUAAAUACAAUCGCGAAGAAGUUGAAGAACUACAAGAGCAAAUUAUUAAACUCAAGAGUCUGUUGUCCACAAAACGUGAACAAAUCGCCACCUUGCGAACAGUGCUCAAAUCCAAUAAACAAACAGCCGAAGUUGCACUUACCAAUCUCAAAUCGAAAUAUGAAAAUGAGAAGAUGGUCGUAAGUGAAACCAUGUCUAAAUUGAGAAACGAAUUGAAGAUUCUCAAAGAAGAUGCUGCUACAUUCUCAAGUUUACGUGCAAUGUUCGCCGCCCGUUGCGAAGAAUACGUUACACAAGUUGAUGAUCUUAAUCGUCAAUUGGAGGCUGCAGAAGAAGAGAAGAAGACUCUUAACCAACUGCUACGCUUGGCCGUACAACAGAAGUUAAAUUUAACCCAAAAAUUGGAAGAAAUUGAAAUGGAUCGGUGGGUUCAUUUGGGUCGUUAGAAAAAAUAAAAACAAACCUAAAAUCUCUAUUUAAUCCUUUUACCAUACCAAAAAAACAAUUCAAAACAAAUCCUUAAAAUUCCUUUUGGAUAUCAGUUCCUUGUUUUAAGUCUCAACUCUAAUAUCUAGUCUAUAUCGUUCUCUUUUUACGUUUCAUAUUUCAUCAUAAAUUAUCUACUAUUACUGUUCGUUUAAGUUUGAGUUACGGUUUGAGUUUUAGUUGUUUCUUUCCAUAUCACGUCCACCAUAUACAAAUUAUCUUCCCUUCAACAUUUGGUGUGUGUGAUCAUUUAUUUUUUAUAGUUUUUUUUUUACUUUUUGUUUUACUUUUAACGUGUGUGUAUAUUGAUUGCUGUGAUUAUUUACAUCAUCGUGAGAUGCGUACCGCACGUCGCUCAAUGCCACCACAGCGAGGCACUGGCGGUAAAUCAUCGUUCUCAUCACGACCCUCGACAAGAAAUCAACCGAACAAUAAUCAAAAUCCCUUCUAACAUAAAAUAAGCGUGCAGCGUAAACUUUUAGCUUUAGUUUACACCCUACUUAAGUUAUAAAUUAUUGCAAAUUGUUUAAAACAAAACAACACACGUACACACUCAUACAAACAAAUUUCAAAGAAAAACCAGAAACCUAUAUAGAAAAUUAGUUUUUUUUAUAAAAUCUUUAGUUAUUUUAUACUCUUCUUCUAUGAUUCUAUUAUUAUUAUUAGUAAUUAAUAUGUAUUCCUAUUUAAUUUUGGGUAUUUUAUUUUAAUUUUUCUUCUCUUUCAUUACGGUAAUGGGUAUUAAAACAAAUUAUUAUUUUUUAAUUAAAUAUUAAAAAAAAGAAUAAAAACACAAAAACUCAAACAAAAAUUAUUGUUAAAUGAGUAAAAAAAAUUAUAUUUAUAUUCAUGUAUUACUAACAUGUUAAACUAUACAGUACUAUUUUUUUUUUUUGUUCUUUUAUUAUUAUUUCUUUAUAAUUUUUUUUCUUAAACUUAUUAAUUUACUUUCAUUAUCUUGAAAGCAAUGAAAAUCUAAAGUAAAUCUUUAAAGAAAACUAUUUUAUAACAUUAAUUAUAUAAAACAAAACAAAAUGUUUAUGUGUAUUUAUAUUUAUAUAUGUAUUAAUUAUACAACAAAUUUAAUAUUGUUAAAAUAACAACAACAAGCAACAAAAAAAAAAGAAAACAAUUAUUUUGAAAAAUAAUACGGUUUGUUACUUACACACAACACACGUCCAUUUAAUACAAUUGAAAACUAAAAACAAAACAAAAAUCAAUCUUAUCCCUCAUUCACAUCAAAAGAAAUUAAAGCAAAUUUUCUCUAAGAAUUUUGCUUUUAUUUCCUUAAAACUGAAAAACAAAAGAAAUUAUAUAAUAAAGUCAUUAUUAUUUAAACUGUUCUAGUUUGGUUAAUAACAUUCGAAAUUGGAACAGAUUUGACUAUAAUUAUUAAACUUAAAUAUUGUUAAAUUAUUUUCUGUUAAAUUUUAUGCAAAAAGAAAUUGAUUAAAUUGUAUUUAGUUAAAUGUUUAAAUAAAUUGUAAUAAAUUCAUUUAAAAAAGUUUA